rnacentral:tRNA from 1 species
GCCCGGUUAGCUCAAUCGGUAGAGCGUGAGACUCUUAAUCUCAAGGUUGCGGGUUAGUGACUUCUUUCAAGCAGUUUAGAAAACAAAGCACCGGCUAACGGACCCUGAAGGUUCGACCCCCGCAUCGGGCU